rnacentral:rRNA from 1 species
GAUGAACGCUGGCGGCGUGCCUAAUACAUGCAAGUCGAGCGAACAGACGAGGAGCUUGCUCCUCUGACGUUAGCGGCGGACGGGUGAGUAACACGUGGAUAACCUACCUAUAAGACUGGGAUAACUUCGGGAAACCGGAGCUAAUACCGGAUAAUAUAUUGAACCGCAUGGUUCAAUAGUGAAAGACGGUUUUGCCGUCACUUAUAGAUGGAUCCGCGCCGCAUUAGCUAGUUGGUAAGGUAACGGCUUACCAAGGCGACGAUGCGUAGCCGACCUGAGAGGGUGAUCGGCCACCCUGGAACUGAGACACGGUCCAGACUCCUACGGGAGGCAGCAGUAGGGAAUCUUCCGCAAUGGGCGAAAGCCUGACGGAGCAACGCCGCGUGAGUGAUGAAGGUCUUCGGAUCGUAAAACUCUGUUAUUAGGGAAGAACAAAUGUGUAAGUAACUAUGCACGUCUUGACGGUACCUAAUCAGAAAGCCACGGCUAACUACGUG